rnacentral:rRNA from 1 species
GAUGAACGCUGGCGGCGUGCCUAAUACAUGCAAGUCGAGCGAACCACUUCGGUGGUGAGCGGCGAACGGGUGAGUAACACGUAGGUGAUCUGCCCAUCAGACGGGGACAACGAUUGGAAACGAUCGCUAAUACCGGAUAGGACGAAAGUUUAAAGGUGCUUCUGGCACCGCUGAUGGAUGAGCCUGCGGCGCAUUAGCUAGUUGGUAGGGUAAAGGCCUACCAAGGCGACGAUGCGUAGCCGACCGGAGAGGGUGAACGGCCACACUGGGACUGAGACACGGCCCAGACUCCUACGGGAGGCAGCAGUAGGGAAUCUUCGUCAAUGGGGGGAACCCUGAACGAGCAAUGCCGCGUGAGUGAGGAAGGUCUUCGGAUCGUAAAGCUCUGUUGUAAGAGAAAAACGACAUUCAUAGGGAAUGAUGAGUGAGUGAUGGUAUCUUACCAGAAAGUCACGGCUAACUACGUGCCAGCCGCCGCGGUAA